UCUCCGUAGGUGAACCUGCGGAGGGAUCAUUACAGAGUAUCAUGCCCUUCGGGGUAGAUCUCCCACCCUGUGUAUUAUAUACCUUUUGUUGCUUUGGCGGGCCGCCUCGGCCACCGGCUCCGGCUGGUGCGUGCCCGCCAGAGGACCCCAAACUCUGAAUGUUAGUGUCGUCUGAGUACUAUCUAAUAGUUAAAACUUUCAACAACGGAUCUCUUGGUUCUGGCAUCGAUGAAGAACGAGC
rnacentral:misc_RNA from 1 species